CGGCGCUGCAGAGCGCUGUAAGGACAGCACGGAGAUGCGCAGCUCUUCAGGCAGCAGCAAGGAACCGGAAUCUGCAUUUCCUGGGAUGCCCGGAACCCCGCUUUGCUGGCCGGUAAUUGUCUGCCCAGCAGGUGAAGAUGCCUUCGACGCUUCCAGUCGAUGACUUCCCCCCUGCGACGCCAUCGGCUUUCCAGGCCUCCCACACUCACCGCCAGCUCGGUUCGGUCAACCGUUACCCGAAUCCCCGCUCCGUUCCCCUUCCAUGAUCUUCCCGUCACUCUGCCACAAGCCCCUACCAAGGUCAUCGCAGGCAGCGUGUGGGAUGCGGCGCUCGGUCUCAUUGCAGUUCAUCCCAUCGGCCUCAGCCCAGCGAUCCAACCCACCCGCACCCUUCCUGAGGGCCCUUCUGCUCCCAGGCCAAUCAACGCUUCCUUCUGAUGCCAUCUGAGUUCCCUCCAGGCCACUUUCAGGCUCAUGCCUCUUUGCGGCCAUUUUGAGAGUUGCGCUGAUUUCAGCCUUUACAUUCAAUUGGCUUCAACCAAAUUGGCUUUAGUUUUACAUUCAAUUAAUGUAAGCCAAAUUGGCUUUAGCUUUGCCUUGGUUACGGGGUUGGGCUAGCCUUGCUUUGUUUGCUCCUAGGCAGGGCUAACCCAACCCCGUAACCAAGGGCCGUCGGAGGCGAUUUUGUUCCUCCCGGCCAGUGUGAGACUCGCGCCCCAUUGCGGCCAUUUUGAGAGUUGCGCUGAUUUCAGCAUCUGCGUUCAAUUUAUCUCAACCAAAUUGGCUUUAGCUUUGCAAUCAUUUUGCAUCAACCAAAUUGGCUUUG